UCUGGUGACCAUAGCGGGUUGGAACCACCCGGUCCCAUUCCGAACCCGGAAGUGAAACGAU
rnacentral:rRNA from 1 species